rnacentral:rRNA from 1 species
ACAAGCGGUGGAGCAUGUGGUUAAUUCGAAGCAACGCGAAGAACCUUACCAGGUCUUGACAUCCCUGACAACCCGAGAGAUCGGCGUUCCCCUCGGGGGACAGGGUGACAGGUGGUGCAUGGUUGUCGUCAGCUCGUGUCGUGAGAUGUUGGGUUAAGUCCCGCAACGAGCGCAACCCUCGACCUUAGUUGCCAGCAUUCAGUUGGGCACUCUAAGGUGACUGCCGGCUAAAAGUCGGAGGAAGGUGGGAUGACGUCAAAUCAUCAUGCCCCUUAUGACCUGGGCUACACACGUGCUACAAUGGGCGGUACAAAGGGUCGCGAACCCGCGAGGGGGAGCCAAUCCCAAAAAGCCGCUCUCAGCUCGGAUUGCAGGCUGCAACUCGCCUGCAUGAAGCUGGAAUUGCUAGUAAUCGCGGAUCAGCAUGCCGCGGUGAAUACGUUCCCGGGCCUU